ACCCAAAUGCGACAGAUGAAAAUGAAUAAAAAUAGUAUUUCCUUCGUAGAGAAAUUAUACCAAGGUUUUUAUUUAUUGGAAUAUUGUGCAUUCUAAAGUAUACAGAUGAGGUAACAAAUAUAUACUCUAUAUGGACCCGACUUUGCCUCCUGGUUCUGGGUCUAUUUAACACUGGUCCUGGUAUCUUUGCUGCCUGCAAUGGUCACUUUUUAUCUGGUUUGAACAAUUACAGUGUUGCCUG
rnacentral:misc_RNA from 1 species